rnacentral:rRNA from 1 species
UACAGAGGUCUCAAGCGUUGUUCGGAUUCAUUGGGCGUAAAGGGUGCGUAGGUGGCGGGGGUAAGUCAGGUGUGAAAUCUCGGAGCUCAACUCCGAAACUGCACUUGAUACUGCCUUGCUCGAGUACUGGAGAGGAGAUUGGAAUUUACGGUGUAGCAGUGAAAUGCGUAGAUAUCGUAAGGAAGACCAGUGGCGAAGGCGGCGCACUGGACCACAACUGACGCUGAGGCGCGAAAGCUAGGGGAGCAAACAGG